GGUGCACAUUUAAGUUCCGCUCGUGCGUGGAACUCACGACUACCGUUAAAGAUGCCAUGACUUAGUUGCUAUGUUUUCUUCUCCAAUGAUAUUUUAAUAAUUGGAUCCAAGAGUUUCACCAUCGCUUGAGGUCUCUUCUUGUAUAACGAUGAGAAAUUUCGUCUAUUAUUUUGUGCAAAUUGCGGGAUUAUCACUUCAUUUUAGCAUUGCCGAGCCAAUAAGAGGUGAUAACGUGGUUGCGGUAGAAAAAGGUGAAUUUCCAUUUGUCGUUGCGCUCAUCACGAAAACUAACUGUUCGAACAGUCAUCGCAACUUCUUUUGCACUGGUGUACUCAUCUCGAAUAGGCACGUUUUGACAGCUGCUCACUGUUUGGAAAAAUUUCAACCAAACGACACGCAGGUUGUUUUGGGCUCCGUCGACCUAACAAUUGGUACGAGGUACAAUGUGAGUAAAUGGAUAACUUACGCUGAAUGGCUCAAUAUGACAGGAAUUGUUAAUGUACCCCGGGAAAUGGACGUUGCGAUUGUGAAGCUGUUAGAGGAUGUGGACAAUAACGUGGCACCAGCUAAGUUGUCGAAGAAAACACGCUCUACAUUAUAUCAACGAAACGUUACGGUGUUAGGAUGGGGUCAGACAAGUUUGGACUCCACAGAAAAACCAAGAUAUUUGAAAAAGGCGCGUGUUACAGUACUGAAGAAGGAACAGUGCGAACACAUUGUACUCGAGCUGACAAAUAAACAAAUUUUUGUGGAAAAGACCAUCUUCUGUACCAAAGCUGAACCAUUUGCUGUGCUGAGUUGCGGUGACAGUGGAGGUCCAAUCGUCACUGAAAAGGGGUCAGUCGUCGGGAUAAACGUAGCCGUUUGCCCAGAACAAAGCCUAAUGAGUCAGCAUCAGAUAAAUCUCGUUAUGAAUGUUCACGAGAGUGUGGUCGCCUGCAUGUCAUUCAUAAAGGAUAUAUUACGGAACUUCUAAUAAUCAUCGUAUCGACGAGCAAGGAUCGCUUUUGCAAAGCAAUAGAUAAUAUUAUUGAGUUGGCGAUUAUUGUCAUUCCUCUUUUUUCAUCCAUGCCAUGUUAACACGUACCAUCACUUGGCUUUCUUUUCAGUUCUCUUUGUGAAAUGAUGUCUAUAUAUUUCUAGUUAUGACUAUUGAAUACCUUUACAAAUGCCCUUAAUUGGAUUACUAUGCAUCUUUCGUACCAGAUGUAUGUAUCUCUUUUCCAAGAGGAUUUAUAGACAAAUAUCGAUUGAUGAAAUUCAUUUUCACGUGAUAACACUUAAGCAUCCAGCCUUGGUCAAUUUAAUUGCAAUAGCAACUCAUUUACAAUUAGUGAAAAAAUUUAAUAAAACGUAUAACUUGGUAGGCGAGGGCUGUACGAAAACAGAAAAUAAUGUAUUGUAUGAAACAUAAGAGUAUAAUAUCGUUGUGGAUCGCUCCAAUACGCAAUACUUGUUUAUAAAUUAAUAAAAUAAAGUAAAGAAAAAUAAUCAUUCGGUGAUAGAGAAAAAUAAUUUUUCCAAUGAACGUAUGCUUUUAUCAUACCUACAGAAAGUUUUUAAGUUACAUUUUUAUUCAAAAUCGUUUUCAGUUCUUUCAUGACUAAUUCCAGAAAAUAAAUGAAACAAAAACAACGUAAAAUAUAUAUCGACCUAUAGUACCAUGUAGUACUUGACACAAAUUGUGAAAGUUACAAAUCACAAGUCCGAAUCGUUUUAAUAUUUGGUGUGUUCACUUCUCAGAUUUGACAACGAGAUACCUAUCAUGACGCAAUGACCAAACGACGAUGCACAUUAAAGCUCCACUCACGCGUGUAACUCACGACUACCGUUAAAGAUGCCAUGACUUAGUUGCUACGUUUUCUUCUCCAAUGACAUUUUAAUAAUUGGAUCCAAGAGUUUCA